CCAUGCCGCGUGUGUGAAGAAGGCCUUAUGGUUGUAAAGCACUUUAAGCGAGGAGGAGGCUACUUUAGUUAAUACCUAGAGAUAGUGGACGUUACUCGCAGAAUAAGCACCGGCUAACUCUGUGCCAGCAGCCGCGGUAAUACAGAGGGUGCAAGCGUUAAUCGGAUUUACUGGGCGUAAAGCGCGCGUAGGCGGCUAAUUAAGUCAAAUGUGAAAUCCCCGAGCUUAACUUGGGAAUUGCAUUCGAUACUGGUUAGCUAGAGUGUGGGAGAGGAUGGUAGAAUUCCAGGUGUAGCGGUGAAAUGCGUAGAGAUCUGGAGGAAUACCGAUGGCGAAGGCAGCCAUCUGGCCUAACACUGACGCUGAGGUGCGAAAGCAUGGGGAGCAAACAGGAUUAGAUACCCUGGUAGUCCAUGCCGUAAACGAUGUCUACUAGCCGUUGGGGCCUUUGAGGCUUUAGUGGCGCAGCUAACGCGAUAAGUAGACCGCCUGGGGAGUACGGUCGCAAGACUAAAACUCAAAUGAAUUGACGGGGGCCCGCACAAGCGGUGGAGCAUGUGGUUUAAUUCCGAUGCAACGCGAA
rnacentral:rRNA from 1 species